CCUACGGGUGGCAGCAGUGGGGAAUAUUGCACAAUGGGGGAAACCCUGAUGCAGCAACGCCGCGUGAGUGAAGAAGUAUUUCGGUAUGUAAAGCUCUAUCAGCAGGGAAGAAGAAAGACGGUACCUGACGAAGAAGCCCCGGCUAACUACGUGCCAGCAGCCGCGGUAAUACGUAGGGGGCAAGCGUUAGCCGGAUUUACUGGGUGUAAAGGGAGCGUAGACGGCUGUGCAAGUCUGAAGUGAAAGCCCGUGGCUCAACCGCGGAACUGCUUUGGAAACUGUAUAGCUUGAGUACUGGAGAGGCAGGCGGCAUUCCUAGUGUAGCGGUGAACUGCGUAGAUAUUAGGAGGAACAUCAGUGGCGAAGGCGACUCUCUGGCACAUAACUGACGCUGAGGAGCGAAAGCGUGGGUAGCAAACAGGAUUAGAUACCCUUGUAGUC
rnacentral:rRNA from 1 species